rnacentral:rRNA from 1 species
GACGAACGCUGGCGGCGUGCUUAACACAUGCAAGUCGAACGGAAAGGCCCUGCUUUUGUGGGGUGCUCGAGUGGCGAACGGGUGAGUAACACGUGAGUAACCUGCCCUUGACUUUGGGAUAACUUCAGGAAACUGGGGCUAAUACCGGAUAGGAGCUCCUGCUGCAUGGUGGGGGUUGGAAAGUUUCGGCGGUUGGGGAUGGACUCGCGGCUUAUCAGCUUGUUGGUGGGGUAGUGGCUUACCAAGGCUUUGACGGGUAGCCGGCCUGAGAGGGUGACCGCCCACAUUGGGACUGAGAUACGGCCCAGACUCCUACGGGAGGCAGCAGUGGGGAAUAUUGCACAAUGGGCGGAAGCCUGAUGCGGCAACGCCGCGUGCGGGAUGACGGCCUUCGGGUUGUAAACCGCUUUCGCCUGUGACGAAGCGUGAGUGACGGUAAUGGGUAAAGAAGCACCGGCUAACUACGUG